UACGUAGGGUGCGAGCGUUGUCCGGAAUUACUGGGCGUAAAGAGCUCGUAGGUGGUUUGUCGCGUUGUUCGUGAAAACCGGGGGCUUAACCCUCGGCGUGCGGGCGAUACGGGCAGACUGGAGUACUGCAGGGGAGACUGGAAUUCCUGGUGUAGCGGUGGAAUGCGCAGAUAUCAGGAGGAACACCGGUGGCGAAGGCGGGUCUCUGGGCAGUAACUGACGCUGAGACGCGAAAGCGUGGGGAGCGAACAGG
rnacentral:rRNA from 1 species